rnacentral:rRNA from 1 species
UACGAGGGGUCCAAGCGUUGUUCGGAAUUACUGGGCGUAAAGCGGGUGUAGGCGGCCGCGCUAGUCGGAUGUGAAAGCCCUGGGCUCAACCCAGGAAGUGCAUCCGAUACUGCGUGGCUUGAGUACUGGAGAGGGAUGCGGAAUUCCUGGUGUAGCGGUGAAAUGCGUAGAUAUCAGGAGGAACAUCGGUGGCGAAGGCGGCAUCCUGGCCAUGUACUGACGCUCAGACCCGAAAGCGUGGGGAGCAAAC